AAUAGAUACCCAGGUAGUCCAUGCCGUAAACGAUGUCUACUAGCCGUUGGGGCCUUUGAGGCUUUAGUGGCGCAGCUAACGCGAUAAGUAGACCGCCUGGGGAGUACGGUCGCAAGACUAAAACUCAAAUGAAUUGACGGGGGCCCGCACAAGCGGUGGAGCAUGUGGUUUAAUUCGAUGCAACGCGAAGAACCUUACCUGGUCUUGACAUACAGAGAACUUUCCAGAGAUGGAUUGGUGCCUUCGGGAACUCUGAUACAGGUGCUGCAUGGCUGUCGUCAGCUCGUGUCGUGAGAUGUUGGGUUAAGUCCCGCAACGAGCGCAACCCUUUUCCUUACUUGCCAUCGGGUCAUGCCGGGAACUUUAAGGAUACUGCCAGUGACAAACUGGAGGAAGGCGGGGGCGACGUCAAGUCAUCAUGGCCCUUACGACCAGGGCUACACACGUGCUACAAUGGUCGGUACAAAGGGUUGCUACCUAGCGAUAGGAUGCUAAUCUCAAAAAGCCGAUCGUAGUCCGGA
rnacentral:rRNA from 1 species